UACGUAGGGAGCGAGCGUUGUCCGAAGUUACUGGGCGUAAAGCGCGCGUAGGCGGGCUGUUAAGUGAGAGGUGAAAGGCUGGGGCUCAACCCCAUGCAGUGCCUCUCAUACUGGCGGUCUUGAGUGCGGCAGGGAGAAGUGGAAUGGCUGGUGUAGCGGUGAAAUGCGUAGAUAUCAGUCGGAACACCGAUGGCGAAGGCAGGUCUCUGGGCCACUACUGACGCUGAGAAGCGAAAGCAUGGGGGAGCGAACAGG
rnacentral:rRNA from 1 species